AUGCCUUAACAUUUUCUACGGUGGGUGGGAGAACAAAGACUAGGGACCGAAUAAACAACGUAUCACAAUAGCGUCUCUCUCUCUAGCUACAAUCUCUUCUUGAUGCUGAAUUUUGCGCCCGCACCCCACUUUCUUAUAACCACUUCGAUUUUCACUGUCACAACCGGCCAUCCUCGAGCACCCACAUGACCGACGAUGUCCCACCUGGCCGCUCCACCUCCCUCCACCAAUUCGAUAAAGACCAGUCCUAAAGACCAUCCUAAAGACCAUAAACCCAUCGCAAGAGUAGUAUAAUAGGGUGUGUUACUGGGCUUCAAAUCUUUGACGAUGCAUAACAUAUCCUUUCCUUUACCUUCGCUCUCCAAUGUCGGUUCAACAUUGACCGAGAUAUGAUGACGUAUUUUGAGCGCCACCGCUAUACAUCGCAUAUGCUGUAAAUUCUUCACCUAUUGCCUUCUAGAGUCCACGUGUCCACACCCCGCAAGUUAUUAUUUUGCUUUCCCAACCCAUGUUGGCCCACGUAACCAUCAACCGCUUCCCGAAUCGGUGUGCUUCGAGGAGGACUGCUGUAAUAGUAGGUUUACAUGCAUGUACUAAAUGACAACUAAUAACAACACCUACGGGCAUGCAAAUGUAGAACUAAAAAAAC
rnacentral:lncRNA from 1 species